CUUCAAAAAUAGGUCUCAGUUCGGACUGUAGGCUGCAACUCGCCUACACGAAGUCGGAAUCGCUAGUAAUCGCGGAUCAGCAUGCCGCGGUGAAUACGUUCCCGGGCCUUGUACACACCGCCCGUCACACCAUGAGAGUUGAGAAUACCCGAAGCCCAUGUCAAAGUGGUCGAAGGUAGGCUUGAUGAUUGGGGUGAAGUCGUAACAAGGUAUC
rnacentral:rRNA from 1 species